rnacentral:rRNA from 1 species
CCUACGGGUGACAGCAGUGAGGAAUAUUGGUCAAUGGCCGAGAGUCUGAACCAGCCAAGUCGCGUGAAGGACGACUGCCCUAUGGGUUGUAAACUUCUUUUAUAUGGGAAUAAUAUAUUCUACGUGUGGCAUUUUGCCUGUACCUUAUGAAUAAGCAUCGGCUAACUCCGUGCCAGCAGCCGCGGUAAUACGGAGGAUGCGAGCGUUAUCCGGAUUUAUUGGGUUUAAAGGGAGCGUAGGCGGUUUUUUAAGUAAGUGGUAAAAUGUUGGGGCUUCACCUUGAAUUGCCAUUAAAACUGGCAGUCUUGAGUACAGAAGAGGUAGGCGGAAUAAGUGGAGUAGCGGUGAAAUGCUUAGAUAUAACGUAGAACUCCGAUAGCGAAGGCAGCUCACUGAACUGUAACUGACACUGAUGCUCGAAAGUGUGGGUAUCAAACAGGAUUAGAUACCCUUGUAGUC